GCCUGGGUGGCUCAAUUGGUCGAGCGUCUGACUUCGGCUCAGGUCAUGAUCUCACAGCUCAAGGGUUCCAGCCCCGUGUCGGGCU
rnacentral:tRNA from 1 species